CCUACGGGUGGCUGCAGUGGGGAAUAUUGGGCAAUGGGCGCAAGCCUGACCCAGCAACGCCGCGUGAAGGAAGAAGGCUUUCGGGUUGUAAACUUCUUUUAAGGGGGAAGAGCAGAAGACGGUACCCCUUGAAUAAGCCACGGCUAACUAAGUGCCAGCAGCCGCGGUAAUACGGAGGGGGCAAGCGUUGUCCGGAUUUACGGGGUGUAAAGGGCGUGAAGCCGGAGAUACAAGUCAGAUGGGAAAUCCACGGGCUCAACCCGUGAACUGCAUUUGAAACUGUUUCCCUUGAGUGUCGGAGAGGUAAGCGGAAUUCCUUGUGUAGCGGUGAAAUGCGUAGAUAUAAGGAAGAACACCAGUGGCGAAGGCGGAUUGCUGGACAGUAACUGACGCUGAGGCGCGAAAGCGUGGGGAGCAAACAGGAUUAGAUACCCCUGUAGUC
rnacentral:rRNA from 1 species